rnacentral:tRNA from 1 species
GGCGCUGUGGCCUAGCGGGUUAGGCGUCAGCUUGCAGUGCUGGCAUCCUGUAUGGGCGCUGGUUCGAGUCCCGGCUGCUCCA